rnacentral:rRNA from 1 species
AACGAACGCCGGCGGCAGGCUUAACACAUGCAAGUCGAACGCAUCCUUCGGGGUGAGUGGCAGACGGGCGAGUAACGCGUGGGAACGUGCCCUUCAGUUCGGGAUAACCCAGGGAAACUUGGGCUAAUACCGGAUACGUGCGAGAGCAGAAAGAUUUAUCGCUGAAGGAUCGGCCCGCGUCUGAUUAGCUAGUUGGGGGGGAAAUGGCCCACCAAGGCGACGAUCAGUGGCGGGUCUGAGAGGAUGAUCAGCAACAUGGGGACGGAGAAACGGCCAAAACUCCUACGGGGGGAAGCAGUGGGAAAUAUUGGACAAUGGGCGCAAGCCUGAUCAAGCCAUGCCGCGUGAGUGAUAAAGGCCUUAGGGUUGUAAAGCUCUUUCGUCCGGGACGAUAAUGGCGGUACCGGAAGAAGAAGCCCCGGCUAACUUCGUGCCAGCAGCCGCGGUAA